rnacentral:misc_RNA from 1 species
AAGGGAAGUCCUGUUCCUUCAGUGUUCAUUCUCUCGUCCACAAGAGCAAGGGCUGGGCUUGACAUGGUUGCAGCACACACAGCAGCGAUUAGUGAUGCACUCAUGUCCUUGUUAGGCCCGUUUUCCCGCACAGAUGUCCUUUCCUCCAUGGAACAUCUCACUUUUCCCUUCACUGCUAUAGCUGGCAAGCCUGGAACCAAAUGUGAACUAUUCAAUUUUCAUCCUUAGAGAAGUCACAAAUGCAAUAUUUCAUGAGAAAAACGAAAAUAAAUCUUACCAAGAAUAUGGGAGGGGGAGAUCCCUGCUGAUCUCGUGCACAAGACUUGCACGAGUGAUUGAUGAGGUUGGAGUCCUGGCAGAGAUGGUGGC